AACGAACGCUGGCGGCGUGUUUAAGACAUGCAAGUCGCACGGAGUCAUUUGUGUAGCAAUACUUGAAUGGCUCAGUGGCGCACGGGUGAGUAACACGUGAAUGACAUGCCCCGCAGAGGGGGAUAGCCCAGGGAAAACUUGGAUUAAUACCCCAUGGCAUCGCAGGAUUAAAGGGUGGCGCAAGCUGCCGCUGCGGGAUUGGUUCGCGUUCUAUCAGCUUGUUGGCGGGGUAACGGCCCACCAAGGCUACGACGGAUACCUGGUCUGAGAGGACGAUCAGGCACACUGGAACUGAGACACGGUCCAGACACCUACGGGUGGCAGCAGUCGAGAAUAAUUCACAAUGGGGGCAACCCUGAUGGUGCAACGCCGCGUGGAGGAUGAAGGUCUUCGGAUUGUAAACUCCUGUCAUCCGGGAGCAAGACCUGACGGUGAAUAGCCGGCAGGGUUGAUAGUACCGGAAGAGGAAGGGACGGCUAACUUCGUGCCAGCCGCCGCGGUAAAAC
rnacentral:rRNA from 1 species